rnacentral:rRNA from 1 species
UACGUAGGAGGCGAGCGUUGUCCGGAUUUACUGGGCGUAAAGCGCGUGUAGGUGGUAGGGCGUGUCCGCUGUGAAAGCUCUCGGCUUAACCGGGAGAGGUCGGCGGAAACUACCCCACUUGAGGACGGUAGAGGGGGGUGGAAUUCCCGGUGUAGUGGUGAAAUGCGUAGAUAUCGGGAGGAACACCAGUGGCGAAGGCGGCCCCCUGGGCCGCUCCUGACGCUGAGACGCGAAGGCCAGGGUAGCGAACGGG